rnacentral:sRNA from 1 species
GGCAACUACUCCUGGGACCUGGCGGAUGAACAGAACGUGAGCACUGCCACCAGCACCGAGGCUGCGGGGGGACCGGAGCCCCAGCCCUGGCCCUGAGGGAGAGGGAAGUCAGGGCCGGGGCUGCCCCAAUCCUGUCUCCUGUGCACAGGCCUACCUCAAGUGGAUGGCAGAGGGUGGCAAGGACCAGCAGCUGCCCGGCCUGGAUCUCACCCACGAGCAGCUCUUCUUCAUCAACUAUGCCCAGGUGGCAGCCGCAGUCCUGGUCCCACCAUCCCCAUGCUUCCCCACUCAUCUCUGGAGGGCCCACUCUGGAGCACCUCCAGGGACCAGAGCCCAGCAUGGAAGGCCCCUUGGGGGAAAAGCAGGAGGGGCAGGGGGCGGGAGCUGGACAGGAUUUCAAUGCUGAUGGGAGGAGGGGAGCACCUGCUGACUCCCCUCACCCCACCCUAGAAGGGGCAGCCUGGGGAUAGUGGAGACCCUCC